UGAAUGGAAGCUGAGGGUUUUUCUUUCCUUCCCUGCAGUCGCACAGGUUCAAGAGCUCGAGCUCCAAGAGACGCAAUAAGCGAUUGUGUUAUGAGUCUUGGCAGCGCCAAAUCCGUGAGCAGAGGCUGGUGCAAACAGGAGAGUACAGGGCUACACCUCUUUAACUCAUCUCAGGUUAUGUUAAUUGUGGAUCGCACCAUCUCAUGAAGAAAGAGGGCAUGAGUUCAGGACCUGCGUUUUCCUGGGCUGCUGUGUGACCUUGGGUAAAGCAGUUCACUUUACACAGCUGUAUUUUGACUGUUGUUAAAAUGGAAAUAAAGAUACCUUUUCUCUUUUCAAGCAUUGA